GACGAACGCUGGCGGCGUGCCUAAUACAUGCAAGUCGAACGCCGUUGCGAACGGGUGAGUCACGCGUAUGUGACUGCCUGGUAGAGGGGGCUAACUAUUGGAAACGAUAGCUAAUACCGCAUACUACAACCUGGACCUGCGUUGUAUUAGCUAGUUGGUGGGGUAACAGCUCACCAAGGCAACGGUACAUAGCCGACCUGUGAGGGUGAUAGGGCACAAUGGGACUGAGAAACGGCCCAGACUCCGACGGGAGGCAGCAGUAGGGAAUCUUCGGCAAUGGACGGAAGUCUGACCGAGCAACGCCGCGUGAAUGAAGAAGGUUUUCGGAUCGUAAAGCUCUGUUGUAAGAGAAGCGGUAUCUGACCAGAAAGGGACGGCUAACUACGUGCCAGCAGCCGCGGUAAUUC
rnacentral:rRNA from 1 species